rnacentral:misc_RNA from 1 species
GAUGAAGAACGUAGCGAAAUGGGAUAAGUAAUGUGAAUUGCAGAAUUCAGUGAAUCAUCGAAUUUUUGAACGCACAUUGCGCCCGCCAGUAUUCUGGCGGGCAUGCCUGUUCGAGCGUCAUUUCAACCAUCAAGCCCCCGGCUUGUGUUGGGGACCUGCGGCUGCCGCAGGCCCUGAAAAGCAGUGGCGGGCUCGCUGUCACACCGAGCGUAGUAGCAUACAUCUCGCUCUGGGCGUGCUGCGGGUUCCGGCCGUUAAACCACCUUCAUAACCCAAGGUUGACCUCGGAUCAGGUAGGAAGACCCGCUGAACUUAAGCAUAUCAAUAAGCGGAGGA